UAGGGAAUCUUCGGCAAUGGACGAAAGUCUGACCGAGCAACGCCGCGUGAGUGAAGAAGGUUUUCGGAUCGUAAAAACUCUGUUGGUAGAGAAGAACGUUGGUGAGAGUGGAAAGCUCAUCAAGUGACGGUAACUACCCAGAAAGGGACGGCUAACUACGUGCCNG
rnacentral:rRNA from 1 species